AACGUAGGAGGCAAGCGUUAUCCGGAGUUACUGGGCGUAAAGCGCGUGUAGGCGGUUGAGCAGGUCCGAUGUGAAAGCUCCCAGGCUAAACCGGGAGAGGUCAUUGGAAACCGCUCGGCUAGAGUGUGGUAGAGGGAUGUGGAAUUCCGGGUGUAGUGGUGAAAUGCGUAGAUAUCCGGAGGAACACCAGUGGCGAAGGCGGCAUCCUGGACCACAACUGACGCUGAGACGCGAAAGCAUGGGGAGCGAACGGG
rnacentral:rRNA from 1 species